GACGAACGCUGGCGGCGUGCUUAACACAUGCAAGUCGAACGAAGUGGCGAACGGGUGAGUAAUACGUGAGUAACCUGCCCUCCUUUUUGGGAUAAGCCUUGGAAACGGGGUCUAAUACCGAAUAAAGGGGGAUGGGCUCGCGGCCUAUCAGCUGGUUGGAGGGGUGAUGGCCUACCAAGGCGGUGACGGGUAGCCGGCCUGGGAGGGUGACCCUGCAAAUUGGGACUGGGAUACUGCCCAGAGUCAGGCGGCAGGGGGCAAUGGUGGAUAUUGGACGAGAGGCUGAAGCCGGAUGCAGGGACGCCGGAUGGAGGAUGAAGGCUUUCGAGUUGUAAUCCUCUGUCACUAUCGAACCGGUAGGUGGAGAAGAAGCGCCGGCUAACUACGUGCCAGCAGCCGCGGUAAUUC
rnacentral:rRNA from 1 species